rnacentral:lncRNA from 1 species
ACUGUGGACAAUGCAAUUGUAUAAGGACGUGAGUGAUGAGCUAAUUCCUCCUGUUAGCCACACCCCUCACUGUCCCCAGUUCACAGAAUUCUCUCCCCUGUGGAGCCAGGCACUGGGAUGGAUGCAAGAAGAGGAAAGAGUUUGAUUAGGACAAUGGAGAAGAUGAAGUAAAGGAACAACACAAACCCAGAGCUGAAGACGGAAUCCCACUGCACAUCCCGCUGCGAUGUGGCCAGAUAGAGGAGCCUCUCAGGGGCCUGGCCCUCCAGCUGGCGAUACCAAUGGAUGUAGCUGACGGACGUAGUGAUCCGGCAGGGCAUGGUGACAGAGUUCCCCACACGCGACACUAUCACGGGCAGCUGUACCAGCCUGAUCUCUUGGUGGCCUGCAAAAGAGAUGGCAGUAAUGAGGGCAGGCUGAGCCCAUGGCCUCCCAGUGCACCCCACCUGCUCAGAAGGGGCUGACACUUACCAGGAACCAGGAGGGCCCAGAGGAGGGCCAGGCAGCCCAGCAUGGCUCUGGGUCCUGCCCAGGUGGAGGAGCACAUGGUGAUGGGUGCUCAAAUUGCCCAGAAACUCCACACCUGAGCAGGUGAUAGAGGCCAGGUCAGGGCCAGAGCUGCUGUUUCUCUAGGGUGCAAGGAGGCAACUGGGGAAAGAAAUGAGGGAAGCAGGGAGGGCGGGACCAGGAGGGCGGAGACAGAAGUCUGACCGCAGGGGGAAGAGGGGGGUGGUCAACGUGAAAGUUCUGAGAAAUGCUGAAGAAUGUCGGUGGAAUGAUAACAGCAAUACAGCCAUCCUUGGCUGGGCACCGACUACAUUUUAGCAGUGUGCUAAUUGAUUUUUGUUCAUUAUUUUCUUAAAUCCUGAAAAUAACCCUGGGGGAUAAAUAUUAUCCUUGGUUUAGAACUGGGGAAAGCUGGAGCUGUAUUUUUGUUUGUUUGUUUGUUUUUAGGGCCUCACCCACAACACAUGGAAGUUUCCAGGCUAGGGGUCAAAUCAGAGCCGUAGCUGGCUGGCUCACGCCACAGUAAUGCCAGAUCCAAGCUGCCUGGGAGCUACACUGCAGUUCACGGUAAAGGCGGUUCCAUAAUCUCCUGAGCAGAGUCCAAGGAUCAAACCCACAUUCUCAAGGUACUAGUUGGAUUCGUUACCCCCUGGAGCUGGUUUUAAAGUCACUUUUCCAAGGCUGCAUGCCUAAGGAAUUAGGUUGGAAUUUAGAACCAGGACUGGCUAAAGGCUAAUCUCAUGCUUUAUCCGCUUGAUACCAGUAGAGCAGUGAGUGUGCUGCCUGCUUGGGAGAAAGGGAUGAUCCCAGAACAGACAUCCCAGCUAAAAAAACACCCCUGCCAUCUGAGCUAGCCUUGGCUCAUUUCCUCCAGAGGCCCCACCAGAUGAGGAUUUUAGAUGCCCAAAGUAAUAUGACUGCUGCGUAGUCUUGCACUAGUUGUUUCACCUCCUUUUCCUCCUCUGUGAAAAGGGACCUCAUGGGAUCCCAUGGAGAGUAAAUAGGAUCAUGUGAGCACAACAUGUAGCCCAGUCCCAGAUGCAGAGAAAAUGCUCAAGAAAUGAUGGGAAUUCAUGUUUCACCUUGAAACUUGACAGCUUUCCGGAGAUGACUGCUGGGCUCCACUUAGGAUAUACUUUUUUUUCUUUUUAUCUUUUCGUUUUUAUGGCCACACCUGUGGCAUAUGGAACUUCCUGGGCUAGGGGUUGUAUCCGGGCUGCAGCUUUCAGCCUAGCCACAGCUUGGGGCAAUGCCGGAUCCUUAAUUUGCUGAGCAAGGCUAUGGAUCGAACCUGCAUCCUCAUAGACACUACGUUGGGGUCUUAACCCAUUGAGCUACAGUAGGAACUCCCAGCAUAUACACUGCAGGAAGUGUUGCAGUUUUAGUGAAUCUGGUGUUGUAUGUGUGUGUAAGGAAUAAUCAUAAAUUGAAUCAGGGAGCAUGAGGGUCAGAGGGCAGAACAAAGUCAUCCUGUCCCAGCAUCGUAUUCUCCGAAAUGGUAAAGACAGCGUUGGGAAGGAUCAGCUGAGGAAUCCAUCUGAAAUGAAACUUUGAGAAUAAAGGGAGAAUUGGCUUCCAACUGAAGUGCAGACUCCUUCUCAGUUAUGCCAGUUGUAUGCGGGACCUUCUUGACAUGUAAAGUUAUGCUAAUUUUUCAGGCUAAUUAUACCCUGAUGGCCCAGAGGCAUGGGUAGUGGGAACAGUGAGGAGAGGGGACUUGGGUGGGGCUGGGAAAUUGUGGGCCCCUGAGCACGCACUACCGGACCCAGCGCCUGAGUUCCAGUUCUGUAGCACAAACUGAAAGUCACUGUGCUUAACUGUAGAUUCAAGAUUCAAGACUCAGGUGUUCCAAAAUGAAGGCUUUUGGGUGGUGCUGAGGUGAUGCGAUGCGGGCCAAGUAUGAAGUUUAUAGAGUACUUGCUGAAAGACUAUUCUGAGUCUAUCAUUUAUACUAUCUGUAGAUGUCUGGCACAGCUAUGGUAAAAUGUUAAGUGGAAAAGAAGGUGACCAUUGAAGUGACAUCGACAUAGAAAAACAACAGUGGAAAGAAAAAUAAGUAGUGUCAGGUGGAGGCUCUGGGCUGCAUCAGUGGCACGUAAUGUGCUUUGGCCCCUGCUUUCUGCAAGUAUUCAGACAAAACAAAAAUAUGCGUAUGUGGGAGUUCCCUUUGUGGCUCAGUGGUUAACGAAUCCGACUAGGAACCAUGAGGUUGCGGGUUCGAUCCCUGGCCUUGCUCAGUGGGUUAAGGAUCCGGCAUUGCCGUGAGCUGUGGUGUAGGUUGCAGACGAGGCUCGGAUCCCGCGUUGCUGUGUCUCUGGUGUAGACUGGUGGCUACAGCUCUAAUUCGACCCCUAGCCUGGGAACCUCUGUAUGCCAUGGCAGCAGUUGGGGAAAUGGCAAAAAGACCAAAAAAAAAAAAAAAAA